CCUACGGGGGGCUGCAGUGGUGAAUAUUGGACAAUGGGGGCAACCCUGAUCCAGCCAUGCCGCGUGUGUGAAGAAGGCCCUCGGGUUGUAAAGCACUUUCAGUGAGGAAGAACGCCUGGUGGUUAAUACCCAUCAGGAAAGACAUCACUCACAGAAGAAGCACCGGCUAACUCCGUGCCAGCAGCCGCUGUAAUACGGAGGGUGCGAGCGUUAAUCGGAAUUACUGGGCGUAAAGCGCGCGUAGGUGGCUUGAUAAGCCGGUUGUGAAAGCCCCGGGCUCAACCUGGGAACGGCAUCCGGAACUGUCAAGCUAGAGUGCAGGAGAGGAAGGUAGAAUUCCCGGUGUAGCGGUGAAAUGCGUAGAGAUCGGGAGGAAUACCAGUGGCGAAGGCGGCCUUCUGGACUGACACUGACACUGAGGUGCGAAAGCGUGGGUAGCAAACAGGAUUAGAUACCCUAGUAGUC
rnacentral:rRNA from 1 species